ACGCGAAGAACUUACCCAGUCUUGACAUGCAGUGGACGUAUGCAGAAAUGUAUAUUCCCUUCGGGGCCGCUGCACAGGUGCUGCAUGGCUGUCGUCAGCUCGUGCCGUGAGGUGUUGGGUUAAGUCCCGCAACGAGCGCAACCCUUAUCAUUAGUUGCCAACAUUUAAGGUGGGAACUCUAAUGAGACUGCCUGGGUUAACCAGGAGGAAGGUGAGGAUGACGUCAAGUCCGCAUGGCCCUUAUGACUGGGGCUACACACGUGCUACAAUGGUCGGUACAGAAGGCAGCGAAGCCGCGAGGUGAAGCAAAUCCCGAAAGCCGAUCUCAGUUCAGAUUGUAGUCUGCAACUCGACUACAUGAAGAUGGAAUUGCUAGUAAUGGCGAGUCAGCAACAUCGCCGUGAAUACGUUCCCGGGUCUUGUACACACCG
rnacentral:rRNA from 1 species